rnacentral:rRNA from 1 species
GUUAGGAAUAUUGGACAAUGGGCGCAAGCCUGAUCCAGCCAUGCCGCGUGAGUGAUGAAGGCCUUCGGGUUGUAAAGCUCUUUAGCCGAUGAUUAUAAUGACUGUAGUCGGAAAAUAAGCCCCGGCUAACUUCGUGCCAGCAGCCGCGGUAAUACGAAGGGGGCGAGCGUUAUUCGGAAUCACUGGGCGUAAAGCGUGCGUAGGCGGCUUUGCAAGUUGGGAGUGAAAGCCCAGGGCGCCACCCUGGAAUUGCUCUCAAAACUGCAAGGCUCGAAUUCGGGAGAGGAUAGCGGAAUUGUCAGUGUAGCAGUGAAAUGCGUAGAUAUUGACAGGAACACCAGUGGCGUAAGCGGCUAUCUGGACCGAUAUUGACGCUGAGGCACGAAAGCGUGGGGAUCAAACAGGAUUAGAUACCCCGGUAGUCC